GGUGCAAGUGACUAUAAAAAGACAGGGACACCAGAUUCUCCUUAGCGAGAAGUAGAAUGAUGACUAUUGUCUAAAUGGGAAUCUCUCUGAUGCACU
rfam:Brassica napus, WGS project CCCW01000000 data, contig: 22582